rnacentral:rRNA from 1 species
UUCGCAAUGCCCGAAAGGGUGACGAAGCGACGCCGCGUGAGCGAAGAAGGCCCUAGGGUUGUAAAGCUCUGUCGGGGGUUAUGAAAUGCAGGUUGGUUAAUACCCAACCUGUUUGACAAAGGCCCCAAAGGAAGCCACGGCUAACUCUGUGCCAGCAGCCGCGGUAAUACAGAGGUGGCAAGCGUUGUUCGGUAUUAUUGGGCGUAAAGAGCACGUAGGUGGUUUUGUAAGUCAGACGUGAAAGCCUUCUGUUCAAAGGAAGAACGGCAUCUGAAACUGCAGAUCUUGAGUGUAGGAGGGGAGAGUGGAACUUCUGGUGGAGCGGUGAAAUGCGUAGAUAUCAGAAGGAACGUCGGCGGCGAAAGCGACUCUCUGGCCUAUUACUGACACUGAGUGUGCGAAAGUUAGGGGAGCAAACGGGAUUAGAUACCCCGGUAGUCCUAACUGUAAACGAUGGGCACUAAGUAGAGGGGUUUU